rnacentral:rRNA from 1 species
GAGGGAAAGGUGAAAAGAACCCUGAAUAAGGGAGUGAAAUAGAACCUGAAACCAUACGCUUACAAGCGGUCGGAGCAGACUUGAUCUGUGACGGCGUGCCUUUUGCAUAAUGAGCCUACGAGUUACCGUUGCUAGCAAGGUUAAGGACUUCAGGUCCGGAUCCGUAGCGAAAGCGAGUCUGAAUAGGGCGUUUUAGUUAGUAGUGGUAGACGCGAAACCGUGUGAUCUACCCAUGGGCAGGGUGAAGCUGUAGUAACAUACAGUGGAGGCCCGAACCGAUAUACGUUGAAAAGUGUUCGGAUGACCUGUGGGUAGGGGUGAAAGGCCAAUCAAACUCGGAAAUAGCUCGUACUCCCCGAAAUGCAUUUAGGUGCAGCGUUGAUUUAUAGUUUUAUAGAGGUAGAGCUACUGAUUGGAUGCGGGGGCUUCACCGCCUACCAAUUCCUGACAAACUCCGAAUGCUAUAAAAUGUUAAUCAGCAGUGAGGGCAUGGGUGCUAAGGUCCAUGUCCGAGAGGGAAAGAACCCAGACCAUCAGCUAAGGUCCCAAAAUAUAUGUUAAGUUGAAUAAACGAGGUUGAACUGCUUAGACAGCUAGGAUGUUGGCUUGGAAGCAGCCAUUCAUUUAAAGAGUGCGUAACAGCUCACUAGUCGAGCGGUUCGGCAUGGAUAAUAAUCGGGCAUAAACAUAUUACCGAAGCUAUGGACUUGAAAAAGUGGUAGGGGAGCAUUGUAGUGUCGUCGAAGGUGUACUGCGAGGUAUGCUGGAGAAGCUACAAAAGAAAAUGUAGGCAUAAGUAACGAUAAUGCGGGCGAGAAACCCGCACACCGAAAGACUAAGGUUUCCUCAGCUAUGCUAAUCAGCUGAGGGUUAGUCGGGACCUAACGCGAACCCGAAAGGGGUAGUGGAUGGACAACAGAUUAAUAUUUCUGUACCUGCUCACACUAAAAGUGACGGAGGCGAAAAGUUAGUGCGUACUGACGGAAUAGUACGUUGAAGCGAGUGGUAACACCGCGAUAGUACACUGAGACUACGGUCAAGGUGAUAAUCUAGCAAAUCGACUUCCAAGAAAAGCGAGUGAAGCAGCCCGUACCCUAAACCGACACAGGUAGUUGGGAUGAGAAUUCUAAGGUGCUCGAGAGAUUCAUGGCUAAGGAACUAGGCAAAAUAGACCCGUAACUUCGGGAGAAGGGUCGCCUCCAAGCAAUUGGAGGCCGCAGUGAAAAGGUCCAGGCGACUGUUUAUCAAAAACACAGGGCUCUGCUAAAUCGAAAGAUGAUGUAUAGGGCCUGACACCUGCCCGGUGCUGGAAGGUUAAGUGGAGGGUUUAGAAGUUUACUUCGAAGAUCUCAAAUGAAGCCCCAGUAAACGGCGGCCGUAACAAUAACGGUCCUAAGGUAGCGAAAUUCCUUGUCGGGUAAGUUCCGACCUGCACGAAUGGCGUAAUGAUGGCCACGCUGUCUCCACCCGAGACUCAGUGAAAUUGAAAUCGCAGUGAAGAUGCUGUGUACCCGCGGCUAGACGGAAAGACCCCGUGAACCUUUACUACAGCUUCACACUGGACGCUGAUGUUGCUUGUGUAGGAUAGCUGGGAGGCUUUGAAACCCUGUCGCCAGAUGGGGUGGAGCCAACCUUGAAAUACCAGCCUGGCAUCAUUGGCGUUCUAACUCAGGACCGUAAUCCGGUUCGAGGACCGUGUGUGGUGGGUAGUUUGACUGGGGCG